ACAAAAAUAUAGACACAACAUAUUGUAACGACCCUGGGUUUAUAAGCGUGGAAAUCGACUCUGCCGCUUGAGCAUGCUUUUGUGGCACAGUCGAUAGCGUGCUGGACUUCGGGCUAGAAGGUCGAGGGUUCGAGACCUGCUCCCUGCCUGUUUCAAUACAUUGGUGUCAGAAGUGGGAUGUGGUCAACAAGGUGUUGGUCCAAUAUGUAUCAUGAGCUGAAAUAAAACAUCGUAGAAAUAUUCCAGGCGCACAAAAAGCUUUUCUCUCAAUUCUGUGCACAAAUUUGUUUGCAUUCCUGUUAGUGAGCAUUUCUCAUUUGCCUAGAUAAUCCUGACAGGUGUGGCAUAUCAAGAAACUGUGAUUGAACAGCAUGAUAAUUACACAGGUGCACCUUGUGCUGGGGACAAUAAAAGGCCAGUCUAAAAUGUGCAGUUUUGUCACACAACACAAUGACACAGAUGUCAAGAUUUGAGGGAGCAUGCAUUUGGCAUGCUGACUGCAGGAAUGCCCACCAGAGCUAUUGCCAGAGAAUGUAAUGUUCAUCUCUACCAUAAGCCGCCUCCAAUGUCGAUUUAGAGAAUUUGUCAGUACGUCCAACCGGCCGCACAACCACAGACCAUGUGUACCCACGCCAGCCCAGGACAUUAACAUCUGGCUUCGACACCUGUGGGAUCGUCUGAGACCAGCCAGCCGGACAGCAGAUGAAACUGAUCUUGACCUGACUGCAGUUUUAUCGAUGGCAAUUUGAAUACACAGAGAUACCGUGACGAGAUCCUGAGUCCCAUUAUUGGGCCAUUCAUCCACCUCCAUCAGCUCAUGUUUCAGCAUGAUAAUGCAUGGUCCCAUGUUGCAAGGAUAUGUGCACAAUUCCUGGAAGCUGAAAAUAGCCCAGUUUUUCCAAUGCCUACAUACUCACCAGACGUCACUCAUUGGGCAUGUUUGGGAUGGUCUGGAUCGAAGUGUACGACAGCGUUCCAGUUCCCGCCAAUAUCCAGCAACUUCUCACUGCCAUUGACGAGUGGGACAACAUUCCACAGGCCACAAUCAACAGUCUGAUCAACUCUAUGCGAAGGAGAUGAGGGAAAUGAUGGUCACACCAGAGACUAACUGGUUUUCUGAUCCACGCCCAUACAUUUUUUUAAGGAACCUGUGACAAACAGAUGCAUAUCUGUAUUCCCUAUCAUGUGAAAUCAACAUAUUAUGACCUAAUUUAUUUAUUUUAAUUGACUGAUUUCCUUAUAUGAACUGUAACUCAGUAAAAUCUUUGAAAUUGUUA